GAACGCGAAGAACCUUACCAAGUCUUGACAUCCUUUGACCACUCUAGAGAUAGAGCUUUCCCUUCGGGGACAAAGUGACAGGUGGUGCAUGGUUGUCGUCAGCUCGUGUCGUGAGAUGUUGGGUUAAGUCCCGCAACGAGCGCAACCCUUAUUACUAGUUGCCAGCAUUGAGUUGGGCACUCUAGUGAGACUGCCGGUGACAAACCGGAGGAAGGUGGGGAUGACGUCAAAUCAUCAUGCCCCUUAUGACUUGGGCUACACACGUGCUACAAUGGAUGGUACAACGAGCAGCGAACUCGCGAGGGUAAGCGAAUCUCUUAAAGCCAUUCUCAGUUCGGAUUGUAGGCUGCAACUCGCCUACAUGAAGCCAGAAUCGCUAGUAAUCGCGGAUCAGCACGCCGCGGUGAAUACGUUCCCGGGUCUUGUACACACC
rnacentral:rRNA from 1 species